GUGAACUCCCAGGGCUGUUGAUGCUUCAUCUACUCUUCUGGCAGUGGGGGCCUGGACCUUAGUUACCCGGGGAGCGUGAGUCAUGUUGCACAGUUGAGCUGGCACAUAAAACUGCGAGCUCCUGCUCCCUAACCUGCUUGAGUUCCAGUCCUGACUUCUUUCAGUGAUGAACAGCAAUGUGGAAAUUUUAUAGAACAAGGAAUUGGAGCUUGGAGAAGAUUGAUGGACCACUCAAGUUCCCUGGAUGGUCCAGGAUUCAGACUGAGGAUGGCCUAAAACGUUAGUUUUGCUGGCUCCCUGUGCUUGGCUAACCUUAGAGCCUCUUACCUUACCAUAGUCUUUUCUAUGAAGGACAG
rnacentral:lncRNA from 1 species